UGCUUUGGAAUCUUCCCAGUAGUGGGGAAUAACCAGUCGAAAGAUUGGCUAAUACCGCAUACGUCUGUAAAGGGAAAGCGGGGAGUCGUAAGACCUCGCGCUAUUGGAUGAGCCAAAGUCGGAUUAGCUAGUUGGUGAGGUAAUGGCUCACCAAGGCGACAAUCCGUAGCUGGUCUGAGAGGACGACCAGCCACACCGGAACUGAGACACGGUCCGGACUCCUACGGGAGGCAGCAGUGGGGAAUAUUGGACAAUGGGGGAAACCCGUGAUCCAGCGACGCCGCGUGUGUGAAGAAGGCC
rnacentral:rRNA from 1 species